GACGAACGCUGGCGGCGUGCUUAACACAUGCAAGUCGAACGGAAAGGCCCUGCUUGCAGGGUACUCGAGUGGCGAACGGGUGAGUAACACGUGGGUGAUCUGCCCUGCACUUCGGGAUAAGCCUGGGAAACUGGGUCUAAUACCGGAUAGGAGCCAUUUUUAGUGUGAUGGUUGGAAAGUUUUUUCGGUGUAGGAUGAGCUCGCGGCCUAUCAGCUUGUUGGUGGGGUAAUGGCCUACCAAGGCGGCGACGGGUAGCCGGCCUGAGAGGGUGGACGGCCACAGUGGGACUGGGAUACGGCCCAGACUCCUACGGGAGGCAGCAGGGGGGAAUAUUGAACAAUGGGCGCAAGCCUGAUGCAGCGACGCCGCGGGGGGGAUGACGGCCUUCGGGUUGUAAACUCCUUUCGCUAGGGACGAAGCUUUUUGUGACGGUACCUAGAGAAGAAGCACCGGCUAACUACGUG
rnacentral:rRNA from 1 species